GCCCUUAUAGCUCAGUGGUACGAGCGCAUCACUCGUAGCCUAAGGCAUCUGUCGGAUACCUGGGUGUUGAGGCAUGAUGAGGUCCGCGGUUCAAUCCCGCGUGGGGGCA